AGAGUUUGAUCAUGGCUCAGGACGGACGCUGGCGGCAUGGAUUAGGCAUGCAAGUCGAACGAAAAGCAGGAGCUUGCUCCUGUGGACGAGUGGCGAAAGGGUGAGUAACGCGUGAGUAACCUGCCCUCAAGUUGGGGAUAACCUUUGGAAACGAAGGCUAAUACCGAAUGUGAAUAGUUUUCCGCAUGGAAUUCUAUUUAAAAAUUUAUUGCUUGAGGAUGGGCUCGCGUACCAUUAGCUAGUUGGUGUGGUAACGGCAUACCAAGGCGACGAUGGUUAGGUGGAUUGAGAGAUCGGUCACCCACACUGGGACUGAGACACUGCCCAGACUCCUACGGGAGGCAGC
rnacentral:rRNA from 1 species